UCAUUAAAUAUUUUAUUAAGUUUCAGUGAAACAGCAAAAUAAACCAACUUAAACUUGUUGAUAUUCUCCUGUAUUUGCAUAGAGAGUGUGUUUUACAUGAGCGACACACACUUCAGUGCUCUGUGUGUGUUUAUAACUCUGACAAACAUCAAACAUGAUCAACAACUGUUUCUCACUAGAACUGAACCUACAACCAACAGAAAUGACUUUCAUCACCAUAUUGAUCUGGACUCUGACUGUAUUAUGUAGAGAAUCUAUUGGGCAGGUGACAGUGACUCAAACUCCCUCAGUGCUGCUCGCUCAAACUGGACAAUCAGUCACUGUGACCUGUAAAUCCAGCAGUGAUCCUACCUGCUGUUGUAGUGGAAAACAGUGUCUCAGCUGGUACUUACAGAAACCUGGAGAAGCUCCUAAACUCCUGAUUUAUGGAACAAGCAGCCGUCAGUCAGGAACUCCAUCUAGAUUCAGUGGCAGUGGAUCUAACAGUGAUUUCACUCUGACCAUCAGUGGAGUCCAGACUGAAGAUGCUGGACAUUAUUACUGUCAGAGUUACCACUACAUCAACAGUAAAAGUGUGUUCACACAGUGAUUGUGAGUUGUACAA